GUCCCUGUAGCGCAAUGGAUAGCGCGUUGGACUUCUAAUCCAAUGGUAGUGGGUUCGAAUCCCUCCUAGGGGAUG